GUUCUAUAUUAGCAUAUCUAAGUCUCUAAGGAGCCCUACAGUAACAUUUUUGAGAGCAAACGGAUUUAACAUUCAUUUGGUCAAAAGUAUUUUCUUUGUUGUUUUGCUUUGUAUUGUUUUCAUGGAAUAUCUUAGUAUCCUAGACCUAACUAGUAUACCAUGAAACAUACCCAGGAAGUAUUAUCAGAGGCCAGGGAUUCCCAAUUGCUUCUCUGCAGAACGGCUGUUCCAGAAUGAGAUUCCACGGUGACCACUAUUUGACAAAUAACAACAAAGAGACACCGACCAAACUUCUACCAGCAACUGUUGGUUGUAGCAUUAGAAAUGGAGAGAUUCAGGAUGUGUUCUGGAGGAAGAAUUUUCAGAGCCUUCUAAUUAAUUCAAUAUGAUGGAAGACAGUGGGUAGAAAGGUUUGGAUGGUGAGAACACUUCCUCCUGGAGGUUGAAUAAGCAGAUUUGGGUAGAUAGAUUGCCGGGAUCUUCGAGAGUUGAGUGGAUGGAGAGUCAGCUUUGGAAAGAGACGAGGCCCCUGCUUGUCUUCCCCUCAUCUCCUAUCUACUCCUCCACGUUGUUCCUCUAACUCUCCUGAGUUAACAGUCUGUGUGCCUCAUGUGUCAUGUCCUUAUUUGUCUCUGUACCUCAAAGCACAGUAGUAGUCCAAGCAAAAGGUAUGGCAGGCUGGACCACGGUCACAGCAGGGCAGAUGGAGAGUAUGUUAGUAGAGAAGUUAAAGAUCCAGGGGAGCAGAUCCUGGUGCCUGGUGUUCCCCAUCUAAAUACCCCACCAUGACAAGAAAGACCCUUUGCUAUCUGCCCCUACAUCCAUCUGCCUAUCACCGCCUCCCACCGCCAGAGGAACUGUGAACUUCAGGCCCCUCCGUGCCCUGCAGACUGCUGCUUGUUCUACGUUCACCUCCACGUGGCUCUUCUGGCCUGACCCGACUUCCUCCCCCAACUUGCCUCCUUCAUUUCCCACAGCAAAUGGUGCCAUGCAUGACCUUUCCUAUAAUAGGAUGAAGCAUUUUUGCCCAGUUGUCCAAAAUGCUCUGGCAUAUAUCUCAGCUAUGAUAUAACGGGUAAAAAGAAGAGUAUUGUUUCGCUGUUGACACCAGAGUUCCGGUUAGGGAAGGAACCAUUUUUGUUUAGGAAAACACACUGAAAAGCUACAGCUAACAGAAAAUAAGGCCUUGAGAGAAAGCAGGAACAACACAGAGACAGAUUAAAAACCUGAGACCCACAAAAGGCAGUAUGGAGCUGGGAGAGAAGAGAAGGGGGAGAGAUGGGGGGAUGGGCAGAAGAGAUCCAGAGAAUGUGGCAGAAAACAUAUGUCACCAGACGAAGCAGAGACUUUUACAAAAAGAAGGA